rnacentral:rRNA from 1 species
UACGUAGGGAGCAAGCGUUGUCCGGAAUCAUUGGGCGUAAAGCGCGCGUAGGUGGCCACAUAAGUCCGUUGUGAAAGUCAAAGGCUCAACCUUUGAAAGCCGAUGGAUACUGUGUGGCUAGAGUACGGAAGAGGCGAGUGGAAUUCCUGGUGUAGCGGUGGAAUGCGCAGAUAUCAGGAGGAACACCGGUAGCGAAGGCGGGUCUCUGGGCCGAUACUGACGCUGAGGAGCGAAAGCGUGGGGAGCGAACAGG